rnacentral:rRNA from 1 species
GGCCAGACUCCUACGGGAGGCAGCAGUGGGGAAUCUUCCGCAAUGGGCGCAAGCCUGACGGAGCAAUGCCGCGUGAACGAAGAAGGUCUUCGGAUUGUAAAGUUCUGUCCUUAUCGAAGAGAGGGUAUAGAGUGAAAAAUGAUAUACUAGGACGGUAGAUGAGGAGGAAGCCCCGGCUAACUACGUGCCAGCAGCCGCGGUAAUACGUAGGGGGCGAGCGUUGUCCGGAUUUAUUGGGUUUAAAGGGUGCGUAGGCGGACGCUUAAGUCAGCGGUAAAAUUGCGGGGCUCAACCUCGUCGAGCCGUUGAAACUGGGUGCCUUGAGUGGGCGAGAAGUACGCGGAAUGCGUGGUGUAGCGGUGAAAUGCAUAGAUAUCACGCAGAACUCCGAUUGCGAAGGCAGCGUACCGGCGCCCAACUGACGCUGAAGCACGAAGGCGUGGGUAUCGAACAGGAUUAGAUACCCCCGUAACU